rnacentral:rRNA from 1 species
CUGCGAAUGGCUCAUUAAAUCAGUUAUAAUUUAUUUGAUGGUCACAAUCUUGCUACUUGGAUAACCGUGGCAAAUCUAGAGCUAAUACAUGCACAAAAUCUUGACUAGGAUUUCUUUUGACUUUUUGAAAGGGAAGAGAAAUAUUAGGAAGGAUGUAUUUAUUAGAUUCAAAAACCAGUAAUUGUAUGAAGAAUAUNUGGUUGANUUCUUCGGANAUUGNCGANAUAAACAACAUACAAAUUGAAAAUUAUGGUGAAUCAUGAUAACUUUACGAAUCGCACACUUAUGNUAUACGUUAAAUAUAUCAAGGCGAUAGUUCAUUCAAAUAUCUGCCCUAUCAACUUUCGAUGGUAGCAUAGAGGGCUACCAUGGUUAUAACGGGUAACGGAGAAUCAGGGUUUGAUUCCGGAGAAGGAGCCUGAGAAACGGCUACUACUUCCAAGGAAGGCAGCAGGCGCGCAAAUUACCCAAUCCCGACACGGGKAGGUARUGACAAAAAAUAACAAUAUUGGUCUUUAUUAUGAGAUUAAUAAUUGGAAUGAGUACAAUGUAAAAACCUUAACGAGAAACGAUUCGAGGGCAAGUUCUGGUGCCAGCAGCCGCGGUAAUUCCAGCUCGAAUAGCAUAUAUUAAAUUUGUUGCAGUUAAAAAGCUCGUAGUUGAAUUUCGAAGAGAUAAUAUAUAAACCAUUUUGUAAUAAAAUGAGAGUUAUAUAGUAUUUUCUUCACCUUUACUAGAAUUUCAUUAUUUAUUUUCAUUAAUAAAUAAUUUUGUUUAUAGAAUAAACACAAUUAUGUGUUUUCUUUUAUAAAAUAAGUAGUAAUUAGAAGUAUUUUAUGUAAGAUUUGUGGAUAAAUUUGUAUAAAUUUGUUCUGCUUAUAUAAAAUAACUAAUUAUUAGAAAUCUAGUUCAUUUACUUUGAGUAAAUUAGAGUGUUCAAAGCAAGCAAAAAUUGAAUUUAAGCAAUGAAUACUAUUAGCAUGGGAUAAUAGAAUAGGACACAAAUUUUAGUUUUCUAUUGGUUUCUAAAAUUUGAAAUAAUAUAUAUACAAGUGUAUAAGAGUAGAAAUACAAUUAUAUGGGAGUGUAUAUAUUAUUAGAGUAGUGUAAUGAUUAAAAGGGACAGUUGGGGGCAUUUGUAUUCUGUAGAGAGAGGUGAAAUUCUUGGACCUAUGGACGACAAACUUCUGCGAAAGCAUUUGUCAAAGAUGUUUUCAUUAAUCAAGAACGAAAGUUAGGGGAUCGUAGACGAUCAGAUACCGUCGUAGUCUUAACCAUAAACGAUGCCGACCAGGGAUUGGAAGAAAUGUUUAUCUCAUGAUUUAAGUUGUGAGAAAAUUGUUUCAGAACCUUAAGAGAAAUCAUCAAGUUUUUGGGUUCUGGGGGGAGUAUGGUCGCAAGGCUGAAACUUAAAGGAAUUGACGGAAGGGCACCACCAGGAGUGGAGCCUGCGGCUUAAUUGACUCAACACGGAA